AUGCACGCUGGCGGCGUGCCUAAUACAUGCAAGUCGAGCGAACAGAUGGGGAGCUUGCUCCUCUGACGUUAGCGGCGGACGGGUGAGUAACACGUGGAUAACCUACCUAUAAGACUGGGAUAACUUCGGGAAACCGGAGCUAAUACCGGAUAAUAUAUUGAACCGCAUGGUUCAAUAGUGAAAGACGGUUUUGCUGUCACUUAUAGAUGGAUCCGCGCCGCAUUAGCUAGUUGGUAAGGUAACGGCUUACCAAGGCAACGAUGCGUAGCCGACCUGAGAGGGUGAUCGGCCACACUGGAACUGAGACACGGUCCAGACUCCUACGGGAGGCAGCAGUAGGGAAUCUUCCGCAAUGGGCGAAAGCCUGACGGAGCAACGCCGCGUGAGUGAUGAAGGUCUUCGGAUCGUAAAACUCUGUUAUUAGGGAAGAACAAAUGUGUAAGUAACUAUGCACGUCUUGACGGUACCUAAUCAGAAAGCCACGGCUAACUACGUG
rnacentral:rRNA from 1 species